GGCGUCGAGCGGCGGACGGGUGAGUAAUACAUAGGAAUCUGCCCAGUAGUGGGGGAUAGCCCGGGGAAACCCGGAUUAAUACCGCAUACGCCCUUUGGGGGAAAGCAGGGGAUCUUCGGACCUUGCGCUAUUGGAUGAGCCUAUGUCGGAUUAGCUAGUUGGUGGGGUAAGAGCCUACCAAGGCGACGAUCCGUAGCUGGUCUGAGAGGAUGAUCAGCCACAUCGGGACUGAGACACGGCCCGAACUCCUACGGG
rnacentral:rRNA from 1 species